rnacentral:rRNA from 1 species
CCUACGGGGGGCAGCAGUGGGGAAUAUUGGACAAUGGGGGGAACCCUGAUCCAGCCAUGCCGCGUGUGUGAAGAAGGCCCUCGGGUUGUAAAGCACUUUCAGUGAGGAAGAACGCCUGGUGGUUAAUACCCAUCAGGAAAGACAUCACUCACAGAAGAAGCACCGGCUAACUCCGUGCCAGCAGCCGCGGUAAUACGGAGGGUGUGAGCGUUAAUCGGAAUUACUGGGCGUAAAGCGCGCGUAGGUGGCUUGAUAAGCCGGUUGUGAAAGCCCCGGGCUCAACCUGGGAACGGCAUCCGGAACUGUCAAGCUAGAGUGCAGGAGAGGAAGGUAGAAUUCCCGGUGUAGCGGUGAAAUGCGUAGAGAUCGGGAGGAAUACCAGUGGCGAAGGCGGCCUUCUGGACUGACACUGACACUGAGGUGCGAAAGCGUGGGUAGCAAACAGGAUUAGAUACCCCAGUAGUC